rnacentral:rRNA from 1 species
GACAGAGGUGCCAAGCGUUAGGCGGAAUCACUGGGCUUAAAGCGUGUGUAGGCGGAAUGGUAAGUACCUUGUGAAAUCCCACGGCUCAACCGUGGAACUGCUUGGUAUACUGCUUUUCUUGAGCCACUUAGGGGCAACCGGAACAAACGGUGGAGCGGUGAAAUGCGUAGAUAUCGUUUGGAACGCCAAUGGUGAAAACAGGUUGCUGGGAGUGUGCUGACGCUGAGACACGAAAGCCAGGGGAGCAAACGGGG